ACAUGGGUGGUUCAGUGGUAGAAUUCUCGCCUGCCACGCGGGAGGCCUGGGUUCAAUUCCCAGCCCAAUUC